CCUUCCCUGUAGCGUGGCCGAGCUCCUCUUCCUCCUGGCUGUCAGUCCGGUCGGGUACUGCGCGGUAACAGGAGAUUCAGUUUCCUGUUCCUGGCCGGAGUGAAAGGAAGUGAGCACCCAAUGUGCACUUCCUGUCAGUCCGGCCGGAAACAGGAAACUGAAUCUCCUGUACCGCGCGGUACCUGGCCGGACUGACAGCCAGGAGGAAGAGGAGCUCGGCCACGCUACAGGGAAGG